AUUGAACGCUGGCGGCAUGCUUUACACAUGCAAGUCGAACGGUAACAGGGAGCUUGCUCCGCUGACGAGUGGCGAACGGGUGAGUAAUGCGCCGGAACGUGCCGAGUAGUGGGGGAUAACGCAUCGAAAGGUGUGCUAAUACCGCAUACGUACUGAGGUAGAAAGUGGGGGACCUUCGGGCCUCACGCUAUUCGAGCGGCCGACGUCUGAUUAGCUAGUUGGUGAGGUAAAGGCUCACCAAGGCGACGAUCAGUAGCGGGUCUGAGAGGAUGAGCCGCCACACUGGGACUGCGACACGGCCCAGACUCCUACGGGAGGCAGCAGUGGGGAAUUUUGGACAAUGGGCGCAAGCCUGAUCCAGCCAUGCCGCGUGUCUGAAGAAGGCCUUCGGGUUGUAAAGGACUUUUGUCCGGGAGCAAAUGCCUGGUGUUAAUAGCACUGGGAGCUGAGAGUACCGGAAGAAUAAGCACCGGCUAACUACGUGCCAGCAGCCGCAGUAAAAC
rnacentral:rRNA from 1 species